rnacentral:rRNA from 1 species
UGAGUAACCUGCCCUUGACUCUGGGAUAAGCCUGGGAAACCGGGUCUAAUACCGGAUAUGACUGCCGGCCGCAUGGCCUGGUGGUGGAAAGCUUUAUUGCGGUUUUGGAUGGACUCGCGGCCUAUCAGCUUGUUGGUGGGGUAGUGGCCUACCAAGGCGACGACGGGUAGCCGGCCUGAGAGGGCGACCGGCCACACUGGGACUGAGACGCGGCCCAGACUCCUACGGGAGGCAG